rnacentral:lncRNA from 10 species
AUACAUACAUACAUAUACAUGUAUGUAUACCCAUAUAUAUGUAUAUACAUGCAUGUAUACCCAUAUAUAUGUAUAUACUUACAUGUAUAUACAUAUAUAUGUAUGUACGUACAUAUAUACCCAUAUCUAUGUAUGUACGUACAUAUAUACCCGUAUAUAUGUACGUACAUAUAUACACAUAUAUGUAUGCACGUACAUAUAUACACAUAUAUGUAUGUACGUACAUAUAUACACAUUAUGUACAUACAUAUAUACGUAGUACAUGCAUGUAUGUAUGUAUAUACGUACGCAUACACACAUAUAUUUAUAUACGUACGCAUACACACAUAUAUGUAUAUACGUACGCAUACACACAUAUAUGUAUAUACGUACGCAUACACACAUAUAUGUAUAUACGUACGCAUACACACAUAUAUGUAUAUACGUACGUAUAUACACACAUAUAUGUAUAUACGUACGUAUAUAUGUAUUUUUAUGUUUUAUGUAUAUGUAUUUUAUAUGUAUAUAUAUCUGCACAUCCUUCACUAUUUUCAUGAGGAAAUUGGAGCUCAGGGAUCUUAG